CCGGAAGGCGGCCCCAGCAAUGGUCAAUGCCCGAGCCGCCGCGGCCCACCAGCCCAGCACCCGCGAAGACCCAGAGCGCACCGCGGGGCGCCGGGAGAGGAGGAAGAGCCACCGCAAGGCCCCGCUACUCCCCCCCUGGGGAAGUCCAAAACGACGAGGGGUGAAAGAGACCCGUGACCUGCCUGCGCUGAGGGCGGAGACCAAAGAGCAACCCCAACUGUGCGCCUGACUGAAGACCUGCUAGACCGACGGUUUCCGGAGAAAGGCGCAGUCUGGACGACGCUGGGUAGACUGGGACCUGCAACUCAAGGUAGACCCCGUUGAGCCCACCGGGAAGUGAGCAUCGUCCUGAGGACCUGUUGCAGGGCUUGAAGUGCAAGGAAGGUGCACACUUGUUCCCGAGCUCCUUUCCUACUGACACACAAGGAAGGCAGAAACUGGAAGAUUGCUUUGGUGAUUUCUCCUGCAGUUUGGUCUUCUCUUAAAGAGUCUGAGCAUCUUGUUCCAUUCAGAAAACCCUCUUCAGUCUUGGUUGGCUUGACUGCACACAUGGUAGUAGCUGGUGGCAGAAUGAACCCUUGCCUCCGUGGCCCCUUUCUUUGCUGGGCAGGCUGGUGCCAGCCCAAGGGGAAGAAACAGAAAACUGCUUGAGCUGAGUCAGUGGGGUCCUGCUAGAUCAGAGCAUGUCUGGAGAGAAAAAGCUCAAGCCCUUGAUGUAACCCUUUACCUGCCCCUCUGAGGGCUGAGUGGGGAGGGGCGGUGUUUGGGGGAAGAUGGUGGGUAUGCUCUAGGAGGCCUGCCUCAAUGUAAAGGGGGCAGAUUUCUUGCAUCUGAUGAAAUUAGUGUUUGGAGAGUUUGAAAAGCAGUGUGACAUCUCAUCAAGGGGCACAAGAGGACAAAGCCCCCCUUUAUUGAUCCGUUUAGAGCUGUAGCUCCAGAGUGCUAUUCAGGCAGGGACAUAGCUGAGGAAAAACACAAUCCACACUUGCCCACAACAUCUGCUUUUAGGGGCUGAACUGAGUGGGACCUGAACUUCAAGGUGAAGCGUCGUCUCAGGAUGUGUAGUACAGCAGGAGCCUCCUCCCAAUUUCCUGGAGUUAACUGAGAUGUUAAGGGAGGAAGAUGAUUGGAGUGACCCUUUUAUGAACUACAACAGGUCUGAGCUAACGGAGAGGGCAACCAGCCUUGUGGCAUUUCAAGGGCCCCAGCUAACAGCAAUCAGCAAUGCUAUCACAUGGUGGACAUAGAUGAUACCGUGGGUGACUUGGAUGAAGAUGUGAUCCUGCUAUCUCUCAGGGCCCUCCACUUCCAUCUCUAGGUGCCUCUACCCUCAGAUGCAGGGUAAAUACUGGUCAUCAGUGCCCCCAACAGUUCUGGUGCUCCAUCUCCUUCUACCAGUGGGGAUUCUGGGUAUAAAAAUAUUGGUCCAUAAUAAUGAACAACUAUCAUUUUACGGGGGGUGGAGUGGGGAGUGGGAU